AUGUUUUUUUCCAUCAUGAUUCAAUAGAUCCCUUUCGCACAUAUCAUGCCGAUGAGAAAAAUAACUGAUUUACGGGUUUUUCAAGCUUCUGAGGACCAUGAAGAAAGAAAUAAUAAGGAAUGCACUUGAGUCUUCCGAAGUUCUUGAAAUUGUUGAAGAAGAAGUAGAAAUGCAAGUUGAAAAUGCUGGAACGCGCAAGACUUGAGGACGUACAACUUUGAAAGAAUUAUAUCAACUUCCUCAUGAGCAUCGUGUUAAAGUUUUAAGAAACGAUGCCGGUCAACCUAUUGGCCCAGAAGCACGUCUUCUAGCAGGUUACGUAGGCAUAGUUGGACGUAAUGCGAAUC